UUCAAGGAAGAUGCCCAGUGGUUGGCGAUCGCAAGGGUCAAUACGGACAUGUCCUUUAGCUCGUCUUCCCUGUUCGAUACUAUGAAGUUCGUCUGGGGUCUUGCACAAACGCCGAAGUUUAGAGAGGCAGUAUUGAACAGAUUUAUCUUCCAGAUGUUCUGUCUAGGAGAUUGGAAGAAAGUAGUCCAUGAAGGCCCUAGGCUCUUUCGUAACUAUGCAGUGGUGAUUGAGGAUUACGAUGGGAAAUCUGAUCCCGAAGAAUACGCCCUAGAUGGUGUGUUCCUAUGGGCGCAGAUCCACAAAGUUUCGGAACUUUAUCGUCAUCCAGAGGUGGUGGACGAGUUAGCGCGCAAAAUCGGGAAGAUUAGGGAGGUUCAGCUUUGGCCUACCCUAGACUAUGAAGGGGACUAUGUGAGAGCUAGGGUCCGGGUUCUGAUGGCAAAACCAUUGACAAGAUUUACUCCUCUUAAUGUUGAGGGAGAGGGGAGGAAGAUGCUGGUAGUAAAAUAUGAGAAUGUCCCGUUCUUCUGCAAAAUUUGCGGAAUCAUGGGACAUGGCUUUGAGGAAUGCGGUAAUGGCAUAUGA
rnacentral:rRNA from 1 species